UACGAAGGGGGCGAGCGUUGUUCGGAAUUACUGGGCGUAAAGGGCUCGUAGGCGGCCAACUAAGUCGGACGUGAAAUCCCUCAGCUUAACUGGGGAACUGCGUCCGAUACUGGAUGGCUUGGAUUUGGGAGAGGGAUGCGGAAUUCCAGGUGUAGCGGUGAAAUGCGUAGAUAUCUGGAGGAACACCGGUGGCGAAGGCGGCAUCCUGGACCAAUAUUGACGCUGAGGAGCGAAAGCCAGGGGAGCAAACGGG
rnacentral:rRNA from 1 species